AGUGAACGCUGGCGGUAGGCCUAACACAUGCAAGUCGAACGGCAGCACAGAGGAGCUUGCUCCUUGGGUGGCGAGUGGCGGACGGGUGAGGAAUACAUCGGAAUCUACCUUUUCGUGGGGGAUAACGUAGGGAAACUUACGCUAAUACCGCAUACGACCUUCGGGUGAAAGUAGGGGAUCGCAAGACCUUACGCGGAUAGAUGAGCCGAUGUCGGAUUAGCUAGUUGGUGGGGUAAAGGCCCACCAAGGCGACGAUCCGUAGCUGGUCUGAGAGGAUGAUCAGCCACACUGGAACUGAGACACGGUCCAGACUCCUACGGGAGGCAGCAGUGGGGAAUAUUGGACAAUGGGCGCAAGCCUGAUCCAGCCAUACCGCGUGAGUGAUGAAGGCCUUAGGGUUGUAAAGCUCUUUUACCCGGGAUGAUAAUGACAGUACCGGGAGAAUAAGCUCCGGCUAACUCCGUGC
rnacentral:rRNA from 1 species